rnacentral:rRNA from 1 species
UACGUAGGUGGCAAGCGUUUGUCCGGAUUUACUGGGCGUAAAGAGCGCGCAGGCGGUCGUUCAAGUCGCGUGUGAAAGCCCCCGGCUCAACUGGGGAGGGUCACGCGAUACUGAUCGACUCGAAGGCAGGAGAGGGUAGUGGAAUUCCCGGUGUAGUGGUGAAAUGCGCAGAUAUCGGGAGGAACACCAAUGGCGAAGGCAGCUUGCUGGGACGGUACUGACGCUGAGACGCGAAAGCGUGGGGAGCAAACAGGG